rnacentral:rRNA from 1 species
AUGGAAUCGGAUUGGAAGACAGACAGAACUCUGCAAACAAAAAAUAAAGGUAGAGAAGCUCUUCCAGCAAUUGUACAAGCCAGCGGCAAUGCAAGUGAUGCAGAAGGAAGUGCAGUUGGGGAUUUUAUAGGAUUAAAAGCUCCAGAGCGAAAAAGAAAGGCCGGACGACCAACCAACAGCAGGGACAAACCUCCAUAUGAUGAUCGAGGUGCAAAAAGCAAGAAAUUCAAGCAACGAGCAACUGCACAGGAUGUCGGCAAGUGCAGCACAAGCAAACGGAUUCGCUUGUGCAGUAUAUGCCGAGAACCAUGA